rnacentral:lncRNA from 1 species
ACAUCGGGAGCUCUCCUGUCCUGGGAGCAAACGCGAGGAAACCUCCGGGCUGGGAUGCUAGGAGGCAGCUAAAAUGUGAAGAAACCUUCACUUGGCUUUUUCUGCUGAGAUGAAAUUUAGCACCAAAGUCACAUUGCCAUGCAACCCCCAAGGCACCAGGUUCGUUUUGUGAAGCAGGUGAAGUAUUUCUACCUCAUUAGUCACUUCAAAAAUUAUUAUUUUCUCCUACAUGUAAGAUUUAAGAAAAAGACCUCCUCAUAGCAAACCUCAGGUUUCUCUUGCUAAGCACACCCAGUCCUUGAAAGAACGAGUGUCAUGGUUAGAAAUAGUUAAAUGCGAAGUGGUUAAAUAAUGUACUAACAUCUUCGCUUGCCUGUUUUAGUGGUAGGACAGGUAAACUGUACUGGGAAUGGAGAGGAGUGGGAUGAUUCUACAAACAAGUAAUUCUAAGGGAUUUUGUCUCUGUUGUGUGGUUAGAAACCAUAUCUAGACUGAACUGCUCUGCAGGGAUUCUGAUGUCCACUGGUGGCUGUCCAUGCUGUCUGCUUGGAGCGAAGGGAGUGUUCAGCUCACCGGAGCAGCAGGAGAAAUGUGUAGGAAAUGAAGUCUCACUACCAUAGGCACCUCCAUUGUCCUGUGCUUGAACAGAGGAUUCCGAGCUGGAAGCUUCGGGGAUCAGAAAGAAGACCUUGCUGUUGUGGAAGCCCCUCACAUCUUCUCCUUGUCCAGUGGAAGCUGUAAUAACGAAGCCCUGGAAGAUCGUUUAUAUAACAGUCUGAUGGUUUGGUUAGCUUUCAUGACUGACUGUCUGCAAGUGGCUUUUGGAAGCUCUUCUGGUGUUUCUUGAAGUUAAACUUCAGUAGGAGAGUACUAUGUCGUUUGUGUUGUAGAUGUGAACUCUGGCAAAAGGAGGACAACCCAGUGGCAUGUGUUGCUCCAGAGCUUCACUACUCUGGGGAGAGGAGAGCAUGUGGCAGCUCCCUCUGCUCUCUGGCUGCUGUUCAGAGUAAUGCUGCUACUCGUGCUGGGCUCCUGCUGUUGUGGUGGUAGUGGUCAGGUGUCCUGGAGCCUGUGGAGCUGCCUCAGGUUGGCCAUGUGGAAGCAGAGACGCUGAGAAAAGGCUCCAUUAAAAGUGAAUGUGUUCAACUUUACUGUGUCGCAUCCUGUGAUGCAGUCAGGUGUAAAUAGAGCACUAGAUCCUGGAGCUGGGAAAGCAUUAGUGGGUCGCUCAGUUUCCUCACUUCACGAAGGUUGAGCCCUUUGCCAAAUUAGGGCUUUAUUGUGCUUGCUUUUGAAUUCUCCAGUGAAGGAGUUUCUACAUAUGGCCCUUUUGCCCCAAACUAUUUCAUAUUCUCAUUUUCUUUCCUAAUAUUCUUUCCCUGUAUUGAGCCUAACUUUCUUUUCAUUCAGCUGCCUCUGAUUGCUCCCACUUAUCCAUCCCACCCCAAGCGCUUCCCUCUUCUCUGAGCUUGUACCUGUCAGAUAUCCCAAAUGGUUUCCUUUGGUCAGAGCCAUACAUAUGCAAUUCCCUAAUCUCCCCUCCGCCAUCUGUUCCCUCCGGCUCUUCAUUACUUUGCUAGCCCUGCUCUGAACCGCUUCUCGUUUAUCAAUAUCAUUUUAUGACGAUGCCAGAGCUUCACAGAGUGCCCUGCUGCCCACGGGCACAGCCCACAGAGCCGAGCCCACUGUCUCAGCUCUGCCCCACAGACAGGAGCACGGCAUGUCAAAUAUUGCUCGCCGGUAAAUAUUGACCCAGAAUAAAGCUGAAGACAGACAGUUUUUUCCUAAUUGC